UACGAAGGGGGCUAGCGUUGCUCGGAAUUACUGGGCGUAAAGCGCACGUAGGCGGCUUUCUAAGUCGGGGGUGAAAUCCUGGAGCUCAACUCCAGAACUGCCUUCGAUACUGGAAGCUCGAGUCCGGGAGAGGUGAGUGGAACUGCGAGUGUAGAGGUGAAAUUCGUAGAUAUUCGCAAGAACACCAGUGGCGAAGGCGGCUCACUGGCCCGGUACUGACGCUGAGGUGACGAAAGCGUGGGGAGCAAACAGG
rnacentral:rRNA from 1 species